UGCAUCGGCCGGGAAUCGAACCCGGGCUGCCCGCGUGGCAGGCGAGCAUUCUACCACAGAACCACCGAUGG
rnacentral:tRNA from 1 species